rnacentral:rRNA from 1 species
GGAUUAGUAGGUUGGUCAUGCCUCUGGUAUGUACUGAUCUCACUGAUUCCUCCCUCUUGACGAAACUGUAAUGUCAUUAAUUUGGUGUUGCAGGAAAUCAGGAACUGUUACUUUGAAAAAAUUAGAGUGUUUAAAGCAGGCUAAGGCUUGAAUACAUUACAUGGAAUAAUGAAAUAGGACGUUUGAUCCUAUUUUGUUGGUUUCUAGGAUUGACGUA